GUGAAAAUGUUGAGGUAAUUUCAGAUGUUCAAAUGAUAUUGGAAAAAUGAAAGAAACAAUGAUAUAAUGCACAGCCAACAGAUGUUUUUUUAUGAUGAACAUGUGAUGAAAAUCUGAUGUCCCAACUUGAAGCAACUGAUAGCAAUAAUGAUACACCUUUAGACGAUCCAAUCACCUUAGGUGAAGUGAGAGCAGCAGCGACAAAAGCUAAGAAACACACGGCAACCGGUGUAGAUGAAAUACUAGCAGAAACUCUGCAAAAUGACAAUAGUACACUCUUAUCACAUAAGAUAUUAAAGUACUGCUUUCAGCAUGGGUUAACAUCUGCAGUGUGGAGACAAGGAAUAAUUAACCCUAUAAUUUAACCUGGGAGCACUGACGUACAUGCGCCAUCAACCUACAGAGGAAUUACACUCCAUUCAGUCCCUUGAAAAAUAUUUUGUGAUAAUAUUAAACCAGAAAAUUUAUAAAUGGUAGGAAGAAAAUGACUUGCUAGUUGAUGAACUAUGCGCAGUUGUCUUGAUCAUAUAUAUACUCUGUACACAGUUGUCAAUAACAGAAAAGGGUCGAAACAAAGUACGUUUCCUUGUUUUUUAUUGACUCGAGGAAAGCGUUUGACAAUAUCAACCGUGAACGUUUAUGGUAUAAACUUAACAAUCGAGGAUGGCAAGGCCCUCUCAUGCAUUCAAUCUAAGUGUAUGAAGGCUGGUGAAAUGGCCCACAGUACAUUUACAAGACUGUAUGAAGCUGUUGUAAAACCUGUUCUUCUGUAUGGAACAGCCCUCUGGGGAUUGACAGAGCACAGCUGCAUUAAUUCUGUACAAAACCGAGCAUGCCACUUCUUAUUUGGUGUACCUAAAUCUACAUCUGGAUGUGCCGAAAUGGGAUGGAACAGUUGCCUUCAGAAAAGAAUUGAAGUACAUGUAUUCAGAUUGUAUUCAAGACUUACUCCACAGAAUAGUAAUCUACUAAAUUGUGUUCUUUCAUGGUUUCGUCGUAGAAGGAAGUCGUAUUUGUCACGAGUUAUCUCCCUUGCUCACAAACCUACAUUCAACCUGGACUUGAUGAGUUGGAAUAGUGUGAAUGAUUCCAACAAAAUGAUUAAACAGCAGUUGAACAGCAAAUUUGAUGAUGAAUUGUGAUUUAAAGAACUGCGGACCGAUAAAAAAGUUUACAAAGGGCAUUAAAUUGAGGACAUAUCGGACAUUCAAGAAAGAUAGGGUACCAUAUCUUUGUUGCUCAAUGCCAAGAUAUAAAAGUAAAGGGUUAGAUAACUUUCGAUGCGAGACUAUACCUCUGACCACAGAAACUGGACGCUAUAGCAGACCUGUAACCCCACUGGACGAGCGCCGCUGUCCGUUCUGUGAUGUGACCGAGGACGAAACACGUUUUCUGAUAGACUGUCCCACUUACGAAGAUAUCAGAUAUGAACUUUUGAAAGAUAAUUCCGUGAUACCAUAUUUCACAAAUCUCACUUCACCCGAAAAACGUAUCUACUUAACGCAAAUAUUGAAAUUCAAAAAAAGUUAGGAGAUGCCCUAUUGCUAGAAGACGUAAUCUUGUAAAUUAAUCUGUAAUCUACUAUUUUAAUUGUACGUUUUUAAUUGAUUUUAAAAAUAAGUUAUGU
rnacentral:lncRNA from 1 species